rnacentral:rRNA from 1 species
UACGUAGGGUGCAAGCGUUGUCCGGAAUUAUUGGGCGUAAAGAGCUCGUAGGCGGUCUGUCGCGUCGGCUGUGAAAACCCGGGCUCAACCCCUGGGCCUGCAGUCGAUACGGGCAGACUAGAGUGUGGUAGGGGAGACUGGAAUUCCUGGUGUAGCGGUGAAAUGCGCAGAUAUCAGGAGGAACACCGUGGCGAAGGCGGGUCUCUGGGCCAUAACUGACGCUGAGGACGAAAGCGU